rnacentral:rRNA from 1 species
CUACGGGAUGCUCCAGUCGAGAAUCUUCCGCAAUGGGCGCAAGCCUGACGGAGCAAUGCCGCGUGAGGGAUGACGGCCCUAGGGUUGUAAACCUCUGUCAGAAGGGACGAAGAACGUGACGGUACCUUCAGAGGAAGCCAUGGCUAACUACGUGCCAGCAGCCGCGGUAAUACGUAGAUGGCGAGCGUUAUUCGGAUUUACUGGGCGUAAAGGGUCCGUAGGGGGUCUGCCAAGUCUGAUGUGAAAUCCUGCGGCUCAACCGCGGAACUGCAUUGGAAACUGGCGGACUAGAGUGUGCGAGGGGUGAGCGGAAUUCCUGGUGUAGCGGUGGCAUGCGUAGAUAUCAGGAAGAACACCGAUGGCGAAGGCGGCUCACUGGCGCAUCACUGACCCUGAGGGACGAAAGCGUGGGUAGCAAACAGGAUUAGAUACCCUUGUAGUC